rnacentral:lncRNA from 1 species
GCUGGUCAAGGGAGGAACUUUUAGAUAAUUAGAGACUUCAAUGUGAAACAUACAGCUACAAUCUAAUGAAAAAAAUAGGAGAAUUUUUGAAUGGGAUUAAUACCUAGAAUAUACAAAGUACUCCUGCAAACCAACAAGAAAAAGGUAAGAAAGCCAACUCUGUCAUCAAAGGACAUAAGUAGGGGAGUCAUAGAAUGGGAAAUUUAAAUAGCUUAGGAGAAAAGUUCAACAUCUCUCAUAACCAUAGAAAUUCCCAAGUUAAAUGGCAACAUGACCCCACAGUACAUCUAUCAGAUUAAUGAAAAUCAUAUUGUUGGAGGAUAUUUAGUUCAACAAGGAUGGCAGGGUUGGAGAGGGAGAAACAAUAAGCUUCACCUCUCAGCCUGUGGGAGCUGUGGGAAAUGUGAUCUAGCCCGUUGUUAACUGGAUCAACACUCUGGGGAGUGGGCUGGCAAGCAAUAUGGCAGAAACCGGGAAGAUAAUAUUUUUUAAGUUGUAAACUAAACAGGUUUUAAUUAAAAAUAUAAACUUACAAAAAUAGUGUUUUUUUGCACAAAAUAUCAUGCUGGAGGACAUAAAAUAAUUUAUAUCAAUAGUCAUGCGCACCUCAAUGAGCAGCAGAAGUCCAUAUUUAUUCUCCAGGCUAUGUGGUUUGGAGGAACAAGGGUAUCCUUUGGGUCAGACCCUCUACCUCCAACUUCAGUGCUCUUUCUACUGCACCACAGACAACUUGCUGUUGCUGUGAAAACCACUAGUGCCAGGAGACCGAAACCAGCUGCAGAUUGCUCUUGCUAAUGGUCAGCCCAGACUGAAAAGCCAGCCACACAGGCCUAAAUAAAAUAAUACUUAAAAAAAUUACUUGGGUUGCCAUCCCAAUGCUGAUUGAAAGGUUUCAAAGAUUGGAUCUAUUAGAGCAAACUGCUGAUUCAUCUUGUUUCUCUGCUGUUAACUGAGUUUCUAACAUUUAGGGACAUCCUAAUCACUCCUACAGAAAUAAAGGACAAACUCCUUGAUUUCAAAAUCAUGGGAAUACAUUUUUUGGAGAGAGUGACCUCAGCUUCUUUUCCUUUUCUGAGGGUCCUAUUAUUCAAGAAACAUGUUUUGAUCCCCAGCUGUGUGCCAGGAAACAUGCAAAGUGCAUUACAUACCUUGACUCAUUGAAUCCUCCCACAGACCCCACAUAUAGGAACCAUCGGAUCCCUGUGUACAGAUGAAGAACUGAGUCUUGGAAAGCUUAACUACCUUGCUCACAGUCACACGUUAAGGUCUAAAGUGAGAAAUUAAACCAAGUCUUCCAAUCUCAAAGACUUUAAAGGAAAAGCUACAAGCUACAAGAAUAAAGAAGUUCUUCAUGUAUAUUUAUGGGAAAAUUGCUAAGGUGUAGUCUCAAGUCCUAAAAAAGCAAAGUUCAGGAAGUGGACUCCCUGAAGAAACAGGAAAGAGCACAGGAGAUGAGGAACAAACACAGCCAAUGGUGAGGCCCUCAGCAGGGAGCAAGGAGGGGGUGCUGUUGUUAAUAAAAAAAGAAGAAAGAAGAUUUUCAUCUAAAAUGAGAAAAGAGGAGAGAAAACAGCUGCAUUUAUGCAAGAUGGGCAAAGACAUGGAAGAUACGGGCCCUCACUGUAUAGUAGCUAUAUCAGUCUUCUUGGGCUGCCCCAAGUCUCUGGUCUUGGAUGUUUCUGGUUGUCUGGCUGGACGGCUUAAACAACAGGAGUUAAUUUUCUUACAGUUUUG